UGGGGAAUAUUGGACAAUGGGCGCAAGCCUGAUCCAGCCAUGCCGCGUGAGUGAUGAAGGCCUUAGGGUUGUAAAGCUCUUUCGGCGGGGAAGAUAAUGACGGUACCCGCAGAAGAAGCCCCGGCUAACUUCGUGCCAGCAGCCGCGGUAAUACGAAGGGGGCUAGCGUUGCACGGAAUCACUGGGCGUAAAGCGCACGUAGGCGGCUUACUAAGUCAGGGGUGAAAUCCUGGAGCUCAACUCCAUAACUGCCUUCGAUACUGGUGAGCUUGAGUUCGGGAGAGNUGCGUGGAACUGCGAGUUUUGAGGUGUAAUUCGUAGAUAUUCGCAAGAACACCAGUGGCGAAGGCGGCUCCCUGGCCCGAUACUGACACUGAGGUGCGAAAGCGUGGG
rnacentral:rRNA from 1 species